rnacentral:lncRNA from 1 species
UUAAGUUACAACCAGCAAAUAUUUUAGUUCUUAACCCUAAACUAUACAUCAAAAUACUAGUCACCAAUUAAAUCUAGCCUCGAACCUACACCUCUUGUUGCUCCGAACCUCCAGCCUCGUCCUUCUCCCUUAACUCCUCUUCCUUGGCCUGCUCAAAACAAUACCAAUAAGAAACUAACCAAGCAAGACGCAAUGUACAAAACAAGAGAGAAAAGUACGAACCUGCACAAUGCAUUCACGGGCAACGAGCCUCACAUAAUCACGACCAAAAGCUUUCCAAAAUUAUUUCAUGAAAUUUCUCUUCACAAGCUUAACUUGUUUUGAUGUCUCCUGCGCAUCAAGUUCCAAGGCCGAAGAAAACUUAUAGCCACGUGCGCCGAGUUUUAGAAAGUCUAAACACCCCC